ensembl:lncRNA
CAUUAAUUGUGCCAAGAAAUACAGAGAGACCCAUAACAAAACUCAGGAUGCAAGUAAAGUUUUGAGUUUUGUUGCUUAAUUUCAUCUUUCCCCACAUAAAUUAUACUGCAGUACAUAUUCCUAACCCUCUAAAAUAACACUAAUUUUCUGAAGUAUUUGCUUCCUUAUGUAUUAGCCACACGUUCUAUUUUUAUCUCAGUGGUGAAUCCAAGAAGUCAAAUUACCCAUUACUAAUGGUCAUGUGGCUGCAAUGGCUGAGAGUCCAGAAAAUGCAGAGAAAUGUCUGAAAAUGUCUUUGGGAAAGUACAAGAAAAGCAGAAGUGUGUGCACUCUGCAGUAAAUGAUUAGAUGAAGUAAUCUAGAUACAUAUUUUUUUUGAAAGCUCUUUAAAGAGAAACAUUAAUGACGAUUCUCUUUAUGGAUUUUCAUUCUGGCACUGCUUAUUCAUCUAACUUGAAACUACAUUACACAGUCACAUUACUCAGACUCCAACAGUGAUACAUACAAGAGCAAAUGCACACCAGCUUGUGUUGCGGCCAUGAAAAAGGAUCUUCUUUGGUUGAUUCUCUUUUGGAGGACGAGAAGAGCAUUCCCUUAACAUCUCUGAGGUUAUCUAUUCCAUUUACAUGCCUAACACUGAGAGUCCAGGAGAACUGGAGAAGUGGAUCCCAACUUUUUUGAUGCAGGUGAAUCAGCUUCAGUAUCUAAGCAUGUACAAUGCAGAAGGAUGGAGGUGUGCUGGGUGUCAUCCUAGUACACAUCAACAGGAAAUGAGUUUGAUUCAGCUGACAACACCGACAGCUAAUGUCUUUUGAGAUAUGUUAUUUAUCCGAGACAUCUGUUUGAAGAUAACAAAUAUGACACAGAUUAUGGCAGACCCAAGCCCUUCUGAAGUUACUGGACAUUAAGUGAAAUGAUUUAGCCCAAGGGAAUUAGUUACCUGCAUUUGAACAAAUGAAUUAAGAUGUGUUCAGUACAACCUGUGAGUGAUGAAUGUGAUUGACUUGAUGAUAAAAUAUAUCCUUCAGCUUAUCUGCAGAAAAGCUGCAGAUCUCUGUCAAUAUAAUCCUAGCUCCUGAUUCACUAUGAGUCUAUAGAUGUCUAUAUGAGCUCUUUUUCAAGUGCUUAACCAUUCAGCCAAUUAGAUUCAACCCAGGACAUUACUUUAAAAUAUAGUCACAGAUAUUGACAUUUCAGAGGAAUAUGUUCUCAUUGCAUGUUAGAAUUGAGACAAAAGAUGGUCAGUCACCUAAUGAGAUCUUUAAAAGUCUGUGUAAACAAUGCAAAAGAGUAGGAUCAAAUCACUUCCACUAGUAGUUUUUGGGUUUUAAUGACAUAUCAGGGUUAAAAUAAAACUUGGAGCAAGAGUCCCUUGUGUCUCCAUCCCUAACACCCACUCCAGCCCUUGAGUUACUUAAUUCCAUUCCCAGAGAGCAAUAAAAAUUGAAAAAAAAAUACAAUCUGUUAGGAAAAAGAAGGAAAAAGAAAAGCUUUUUUCUGCCUUCUCUUGUUCUCUAUAAAAGAAUGAACAUUAGUUCACGAUCUUAAAUAUCUGUCACCACAUCAUCUAUCUUGCUUGAGUAUCAAGACACGGUUAGUGGGUAAUAAAUGCCCUCUAACUGAAAGAGAAGGAAUACCCCAUGUACCAAACUGUCAGAGAAUUUUCUGCUUCAUGCAACAUUUUAUUAUGUUAAGUAAGUCUAUAUAGUUUUCACCAGAGGUUGUUUGUUUAACCUCUGCCUUAUGAUAUAUUUGUCAACUCGAUUACCUUUUCCAUGAAU